rnacentral:rRNA from 1 species
AUGCGUAUGCCUAAUCCCAGAGAUGUUGAUCACGCUCUGUUUGUUGAACAUAUUAAGUUGAAGCAGUAUGGAGUUUCGGUCAAGUUUUCCCCUUGGUCCGAAGAUAUUGAUUCAGAAGGGCUCCUGGAAGUUGCUUGGGUGAGAAUUGGGAAGAUCCCCCCUAACAAACGCUGUGAUAAAACCAUGGCUUAUGUGGGCGGGCUUGUGGGCAUAACCCUAGAAGUGGAUAUGUCCACUAUGAAUCGCCCAUCUUCAGUUAGGGCCAAAAUUGGGUGCAGAUCUGUGAAGCAGCUCCCUGCCACAGUUGAAGGGGUCUUGGGGGGACCGUUUUUACAAUUUCACAUAUGA